rnacentral:rRNA from 1 species
UACGAAGGGAGCUAGCGUUGUUCGGAAUUACUGGGCGUAAAGGGCGCGUAGGCGGCCUUGUAAGUCAGAUGUGAAAGCCCCGGGCUUAACCUGGGAACUGCAUUUGAUACUGCAAGGCUAGAGAUCGAGAGAGGAAAGUGGAAUUACGAGUGUAGAAGUGAAAUUCGUAGAUAUUCGUAGGAACACCAGUGGCGAAGGCGACUUUCUGGCUCGAUACUGACGCUAAAGCGCGAAAGCGUGGGGAGCAAACAGG